rnacentral:rRNA from 1 species
CGGCGGACGGGUGAGUAACGCGUGGGUAACCUGCCUCAUACAGGGGGAUAACAGUUAGAAAUGACUGCUAAUACCGCAUAAGACCACAGCACCGCAUGGUGCGGGGGUAAAAACUCCGGUGGUAUGAGAUGGACCCGUGUCUGAUUAGCUAGUUGGUAAGGUAACGGCUUACCAAGGCGACGAUCAGUAGCCGACCUGAGAGGGUGACCGGCCACAUUGGGACUGAGACACGGCCCAA